CCCAGGACAUCCUCCUUGGUUGGCACCCGCGGCCCCAGGCCUGGGUCCCGCCCGCGCGUCCCGCAGACCCCUGCUCUCAGCGCCUGGAUCCUUCCAGGGUCUGUCUAUGCUCAGGGCAGCCUGCGUGCAGCGACGCCGCCUCCAGAGCGCACCCCCUGGGCGGGAGCCAGGAGAAUAAGGAGAAAACCUGAACAGGGCCUCUGUGGCUAAAGGAGGCCAGAAGGCCCCAGAGAAACCCGCGCCAGAGGAGGGCCCCCCAAGCGCUGAGGCCCACGCGCCGCCGCUGGCCCAGGAACUGGCCGAGUGCAUGGAGCAGAUGGUGCAGAAGCGCAUCCUGAAACAGGGAGAGCAGGCUAUUGCGGCAACCGAACCCUGGCAGCGAAGGAACUUCCUGCCCCGGAAGAGACAG
rnacentral:lncRNA from 1 species